GAGAGUAGAGCUCAACUGGUAGAGUGCAUGCUUAGCAUGUACAGGGUCCUGGGUUCAAUUCCCAGUAAUUCCU
rnacentral:tRNA from 1 species